AAACCGAAUCCCGACGCCUGAGAUGACAUACAUGCACAGAUGAAUUCUGGCGCCGCCGAUAUACCUGAUAUGACAUCGAAUACCAGUUCGCCAGUUUUCCCCAAUAAAACCUCAAGUAAAACAGAGCUGCCAUCAGAUUACCAGUUUCCCCUUCUUAAACAUCUAAUUACAAAAGCUAGGACACACCAUGGAUGUAGCUUAGUUUCAGGCAGAAGCAACCGAUCGCUGAGUUAAACCCGGCCCGAAGACAACCAUUAUGAAGGCGGCUAAAACCGGGC
rnacentral:lncRNA from 1 species